AUUGAACGCUGGCGGCAGGCCUAACACAUGCAAGUCGAGCGGAUGAGGGGAGCUUGCUCCCUGAUUUAGCGGCGGACGGGUGAGUAAUGCCUAGGAAUCUGCCUGGUAGUGGGGGAUAACGUUCCGAAAGGAACGCUAAUACCGCAUACGUCCUACGGGAGAAAGCAGGGGACCUUCGGUCCUUGCGCUAUCAGAUGAGCCUAGGUCGGAUUAGCUAGUUGGUGAGGUAAUGGCUCACCAAGGCGACGAUCCGUAACUGGUCUGAGAGGAUGAUCAGUCACACUGGAACUGAGACACGGUCCAGACUCCUACGGGAGGCAGCAGUGGGGAAUAUUGGACAAUGGGCGAAAGCCUGAUCCAGCCACGCCGCGUGUGUGAAGAAGGUCUUCGGAUUGUAAAGCACUUUAAGUUGGGAGGAAGGGCUGCUGGUUAAUACCCUGCAGUUUUGACGUUACCAACAGAAUAAGCACCGGCUAACUUCGUG
rnacentral:rRNA from 1 species